rnacentral:lncRNA from 1 species
UCAAAAAGUCGGAUUUGUAUCGGGUUUUUAAAAUCCCGAACUCGAACCCGAAAACCAAAUUAAAAUCCGUAUCCGGACGCGAACCCGGCGGAUUUUAAAAAUCUAUAUCCAUAUACAUACCCUACUAAAAACCCGAAACCUGAACCUAAACCUGAAUCCGAACUCGGCGGAUUUUAAAAAUCCAUAUCGUUGAAUGAAGAUUUAAAAGAUAAAAAUUAUUAAAUAUUUUAUAUAUUAUAUAAAUAAAUAAAAAUAAAUUAUGUAUAUAUAUAAUUUAUUCGGGUUCGAGUUCGGAUUCGGUUCGGGUUCGGGUCAGGUAAAUACAAAAUCCAUAUCUGUAUUCAUAUCCGCCGGAUUUUUAUUUUCUAUAUCCAUAAUCGAAUCUAUACCCGUUUAGCUCGGAUAAACUCGUUCCGUUCGGAUUCGGAUUCGGAUAAUAUUUCAGAUAGCCAUGCCCAAUGACAUCCCUAACUCC